rnacentral:rRNA from 1 species
AGAACGAACGCUGGCGGCAGGCUUAACACAUGCAAGUCGAACGCUCCGCAAGGAGAGUGGCAGACGGGUGAGUAACACGUGGGAAUCUACCCUUUACUACGGAAUAACGCAUGGAAACGUGUGCUAAUACCGUAUGUGUCCUUCGGGAGAAAGAUUUAUCGGUAAGGGAUGAGCCCGCGUUGGAUUAGCUAGUUGGUGGGGUAAAGGCCUACCAAGGCGACGAUCCAUAGCUGGUCUGAGAGGAUGAUCAGCCACAUUGGGACUGAGACACGGCCCAAACUCCUACGGGAGGCAGCAGUGGGGAAUAUUGGACAAUGGGCGCAAGCCUGAUCCAGCCAUGCCGCGUGAGUGAUGAAGGCCCUAGGGUUGUAAAGCUCUUUCACCGGAGAAGAUAAUGACGGUAUCCGGAGAAGAAGCCCCGGCUAACGUUCGCGCCAGCAGCCGC